rnacentral:rRNA from 1 species
UACAGAGGUGGCAAGCGUUGUUCGGAAUUACUGGGCGUAAAGGGCGCGUAGGCGGUUCGUCAAGUCCUGUGUGAAAUCCCCCGGCUCAACUGGGGAACUGCACAGGAAACUAGCGGGCUUGAGUUCGGGAGAGGGAAGCGGAAUUCCGGGUGUAGCGGUGAAAUGCGUAGAUAUCCGGAGGAACACCGGUGGCGAAGGCGGGUCUCUGGACCGAUACUGACGCUGAUGAGCGAAAGCGUGGGGGGCGAACAGG